rnacentral:lncRNA from 1 species
ACAAUUACCUUUCAUUUUUAGAAAUGUCAUCAUCGGCAAAGCUCUCCCACAGAUGUUGUGUCUCACCCCAUGUAAUCAGAGAUGAACCUGGGCCACCCACUCAUUGAUACCUGCACUCAAGAUCACACUGAUCUGUGAUGAAGUGUCCCUGGAUCUUCUUGUCACUAAGUCCAAGUUCAGCUCUAGCUUCAGAACAGCCUCUGGAGGAUUGGGUGAUGAAACCAGCACAAAGCAUCUCCAUCCCUCAAGCUGAACUUCAUUUGUUUGUUUGUUUGUUUGUUUGUUUUGGGGGGGGGGUACUUGGAGGGUGGAGGUAUUUUUUUAGUGCUUGGGAUUGAACCCAAGGCCUCAUGCAUGCUGGGCAAGCACCCUGCUCCACCCCUGAUGACCCUCUUUGAUGGCUAUAUUCUUUGGUGCCCUCUCAUCUUCUCCAAAUUUACAUCCAGCAAUAUUAACAGUAAGAGAGUUUUCUUUCUAAGAAUUCCAGAAGAAAUGACAAGACCAGAGCCAAGGAUAAAACAGCCUCACUCCAAACACAUAAAGCACUGGGGAGUUGGGAUUUCCUCAAAGGAUAAGCAAAGUGCUGUUCACAGUGCUACUGAAGAGCACAAGCAAUAAUGUGCAGUACACAGGCCCUGUCCCCCAGCCCCCUCCAAAAGAAUGUUCCUUCUGUUGCAUCCCCAUGGUUUUAUAAUUCUAGCUAGCACUUAUUCAUUCUUUUUUAUGGUCGGUACCAUAUGUUGGUUUACACAGUGACUUCUCCUUUGUAUUAUUACUAGAUACCAGUAUUCCUAUCUUAAAAUAAUGAUUUGGGGUUGAUGCAAAUGUUCUGUAUGGUGAUAGUUACACAGACAUCACAUUUGUCAGAACUCACAGGGGCAUUUUAUUGGGAGCAAAUUAGACCUCCAUAAAGUUUGAUUUUUAAAAAUGGAUGGUAAUGGUAAUGCUGAUGAGAUUUAUUAAACAUUUUUUUGUGUAGUAGGAU